UACACUCCUACGGGAGGCAGCAGUGGGGAAUAUUGGACAAUGGGCGCAAGCCUGAUCCAGCCAUGCCGCGUGAGUGAUGAAGGCCCUAGGGUUGUAAAGCUCUUUCACCGGUGAAGAUAAUGACGGUAACCGGAGAAGAAGCCCCGGCUAACUUCGUGCCAGCAGCCGCGGUAAUACGAAGGGGGCUAGCGUUGUUCGGAUUUACUGAGCGUAAAGCGCACGUAGGCGGACUAUUAAGUCAGGGGUGAAAUCCCGGGGCUCAACCCCGGAACUGCCUUUGAUACUGGUAGUCUUGAGUUCGAGAGAGGUGAGUGGAAUUCCGAGUGUAGAGGUGAAAUUCGUAGAUAUUCGGAGGAACACCAGUGGCGAAGGCGGCUCACUGGCUCGAUACUGACGCUGAGGUGCGAAAGCGUGGGGAGCAAACAGGAUUAGAUACCCCAGUAGUCCCAUGAU
rnacentral:rRNA from 1 species